UAAGUUGUUGACGUGGCAUUGUCACGUGGCACAAAAAAGCAAUAUGGCAUUACCAUGUCAGCGGUUUGAUCCAACGUGGCAAUGUCACGUGGGUUAGGUUGGUCUGACAUGGCAAUGUCACGUGGCAUUUUGUGCCACGUGGCAAUGCCACGUCAGCAAAUUA
rnacentral:pre_miRNA from 1 species